UAAACUUUUGGUAGAUGGUAUUUUCCUGUUACUAGAAAAAGUCUCUGAUCCCUCCAGCUAAUUUGUACAUGAGCCUAUGCUUUAACUUGGAAUUUACUCUUCAGAAGACCAUGACUUUAUUUAUUCUACCUUCUCAUUUUAGGAAGAAAACAUGUCCGUUUGCCUCUGCAAAAUAAGCUGCAAGGAACCUGGGACACUUAAGGAGGCUGACAGGCAUGGAAAGGUCAAAAUAAAGCAGGAGAGCUGUUUCAGCAUAUUCCUUCUGGCACAGACCUUGUCAUCGUGAUCUAUGUCUUUGUGGCCUCAAGGCCAGAUUACUGUAAUGUGCACCAUUGAAAACCACCUGCAGGCUGGAGCUAUUGCAGAACACAGAAGCAGGACUGCUCAAGGGGCUUCAUCUGUGAGAGUUGGCAAACCCCCAUGCUCUGUAAACUACAUUAGCAAGUAUGAUUCAAGGUCUUUUACUUUUAUUUUUUAAAGCCUAAAACAAUAUGGAGCCGAAAUUCCUGAAGUAG